UACGUAGGGGGCCAGCGUUGUCCGGAUUCAUUGGGCGUAAAGCGCGUGUAGGCGGCCAGGUAGGUCCGACGUGAAAACUGGAGGCUCAACCUCCAGCUGUCGUCGGAAACCCUCUGGCUAGAGUCCGGAAGAGGAGAGUGGAAUUCCUGGUGUAGCGGUGAAAUGCGCAGAUAUCAGGAAGAACACCGAUGGCGAAGGCAGCUCUCUGGGACGGUACUGACGCUGAGACGCGAAAGCGUGGGGAGCGAACAGG
rnacentral:rRNA from 1 species